UACAGAGGAGGCGAGCGUUGCUCGGAAUUACUGGGCUUAAAGCGCGUGUAGGCGGCUGUGUAAGUGUCCCGUGAAAUCCCACGACUCAAUCGCGGAACUGCGGGGCAUACUGCACGGCUUGAGGUCGGCAGAGGUGCCUGGAACUCUAGGUGGAGCGGUGAAAUGCGUAGAUAUCUAGAGGAAUGCCAGAGGCGAAGGCGGGGCACUGGGCCGAAUCUGACGCUGAGACGCGAAAGCGUGGGGAUCAAACAGG
rnacentral:rRNA from 1 species